GGUUAAGUUAGAAAGGGCGCACGGUGGAUGCCUUGGCACUAGGAGCCGAAGAAGGACGGGACUAACACCGAUAUGCUUUGGGGAGCUGUACGUAAGCGUUGAUCCAGAGAUUUCCGAAUGGGGGAACCCACUAUCUUUAGUCGGAUAGUAUCCUUACGUGAAUACAUAGCGUGAGGAAGGCAGACCCAGGGAACUGAAACAUCUAAGUACCUGGAGGAAGAGAAAGAAAAAUCGAUUUCCUGAGUAGCGGCGAGCGAAACGGAAAGAGCCCAAACCAAGAAGCUUGCUUCUUGGGGUUGUAGGACACUCUAUACGGAGUUACAAAAGAAAGUUAUAAAUGAAGCGGUCUGGAAAGGCCCGCCAAAGACGGUAACAGCCCGGUAGUUGAAAUGGCUUUCCCUCCAGAGUGGAUCCUGAGUACGGCGGAACACGUGAAAUUCCGUCGGAAUCCGGGAGGACCAUCUCCCAAGGCUAAAUACUCCCUAGUGACCGAUAGUGAACCAGUACCGUGAGGGAAAGGUGAAAAGCACCCCGGAAGGGGAGUGAAACAGUUCCUGAAACCGUGUGCCUACAAGUAGUUAGAGCCCGUUAAUGGGUGAUAGCGUGCCUUUUGUAGAAUGAACCGGCGAGUUACGAUUUGUUGCAAGGUUAAGCGGAAAAAGCGGAGCCGUAGCGAAAGCGAGUCUGAAUAGGGCGCAUAAGUAACAGGUCGUAGACCCGAAACCAGGUGAUCUACCCAUGUCCAGGAUGAAGGUAAGGUAAUACUUACUGGAGGUCCGAACCCACGCACGUUGAAAAGUGCGGGGAUGAGGUGUGGGUAGCGGAGAAAUUCCAAUCGAACUUGGAGAUAGCUGGUUCUCUCCGAAAUAGCUUUAGGGCUAGCCUCGAGGUAAAGAGUCAUGGAGGUAGAGCACUGUUUGGACUAGGGGCCCUUCUCGGGUUACCGAAUUCAGAUAAACUCCGAAUGCCAUGUACUUAUACUCGGGAGUCAGACUGCGAGUGAUAAGAUCCGUAGUCGAAAGGGAAACAGCCCAGACCACCAGUUAAGGUCCCCAAAUAUAUGUUAAGUGGAAAAGGAUGUGGGGUUGCUUAGACAACCAGGAUGUUGGCUUAGAAGCAGCCACCAUUGAAAGAGUGCGUAAUAGCUCACUGGUCGAGUGACCCCGCGCCGAAAAUGUACCGGGGCUAAACAUAUUACCGAAACUGUGGAUGAACCUCUUUAGAGGUUCGUGGUAGGAGAGCGUUCUAAGGGCGGUGAAGUCAGACCGGAAGGACUGGUGGAGCGCUUAGAAGUGAGAAUGCCGGUAUGAGUAGCGAAAGAAGGGUGAGAAUCCCUUCCACCGAAUAUCUAAGGUUUCCUGAGGAAGGCUCGUCCGCUCAGGGUUAGUCGGGACCUAAGCCGAGGCCGAUAGGCGUAGGCGAUGGACAACAGGUAGAGAUUCCUGUACCAGUGCUAAUUGUUUAACCGAUGGGGUGACACAGAAGGAUAGGGAAUCGCACGAAUGGAAAUGUGCGUCCAAGCAGUGAGUGUGAGAAGUAGGCAAAUCCGCUUCUCANNNNNNNNNNNNNNNNNNNNNNNNNNNNNNNNNNNNNNNNNNNNNNNNNNNNNNNNNNNNNNNNNNNNNNNNNNNNNNNNNNNNNNNNNNNNNUUCUCGCGAAGCAUGAGCUGUGAUGGGGAAGGAAAUUAAGUACGGAAGUUCCUGAUUUCACGCUGUCAAGAAAAGCCUCUAGGAAGAGUAGUACUGCCCGUACCGCAAACCGACACAGGUAGAUGAGGAGAGAAUCCUAAGGUGAGCGAGAGAACUCUCGUUAAGGAACUCGGCAAAAUGACCCCGUAACUUCGGGAGAAGGGGUGCUCUAUUAGGGUGCAAGCCCGAGAGAGCCGCAGUGAAUAGGCCCAGGCGACUGUUUAGCAAAAACACAGGUCUCUGCAAAACCGUAAGGUGACGUAUAGGGGCUGACGCCUGCCCGGUGCUGGAAGGUUAAGAGGAGUGCUUAGCUUCGGCGAAGGUACGAAUUGAAGCCCCAGUAAACGGCGGCCGUAACUAUAACGGUCCUAAGGUAGCGAAAUUCCUUGUCGGGUAAGUUCCGACCCGCACGAAAGGCGCAACGAUCUGGGCACUGUCUCAACGAGAGACUCGGUGAAAUUAUAGUACCUGUGAAGAUGCAGGUUACCCGCGACAGGACGGAAAGACCCCGUGGAGCUUUACUGCAACCUGAUAUGGAAUGUUUGUACCGCUUGUACAGGAUAGGUAGGAGCCGAAGAGACGUGUGCGCUAGCAUACGAGGAGGCAAUGGUGGGAUACUACCCUGGCUGUAUGACCAUUCUAACCCGCCACGCUUAGCGCGUGGGGAGACAGUGUCAGGUGGGCAGUUUGACUGGGGCGGUCGCCUCCUAAAGAGUAACGGAGGCGCCCAAAGGUUCCCUCAGAAUGGAUGGAAAUCAUUCGCAGAGUGUAAAGGCACAAGGGAGCUUGACUGCGAGACUGACAAGUCGAGCAGGGACGAAAGUCGGGCUUAGUGAUCCGGUGGUUCCGCAUGGAAGGGCCAUCGCUCAACGGAUAAAAGCUACCCCGGGGAUAACAGGCUUAUCUCCCCCAAGAGUCCACAUCGACGGGGAGGUUUGGCACCUCGAUGUCGGCUCGUCGCAUCCUGGGGCUGUAGUCGGUCCCAAGGGUUGGGCUGUUCGCCCAUUAAAGCGGCACGCGAGCUGGGUUCAGAACGUCGUGAGACAGUUCGGUCCCUAUCCGUCGCGGGCGCAGGAAAUUUGAGAGGAGCUGUCCUUAGUACGAGAGGACCGGGAUGGACACACCGCUGGUGUACCAGUUGUUCCGCCAGGAGCAUCGCUGGGUAGCUAUGUGUGGCAGGGAUAAACGCUGAAAGCAUCUAAGCGUGAAGCCCCCCUCAAGAUGAGAUUUCCCAUUUCUUCGGAAAGUAAGAUCCCUGAAAGAUGAUCAGGUAGAUAGGUUUGGAGUGGAAGUGUAGCGAUACAUGGAGCGGACAAAUACUAAUCGAUCGAGGACUUAACCAA
rnacentral:rRNA from 1 species